AUGCACUUGGAGUUGGGAGGAUCUAAAGCUCAGCAGAGCAUUCUAGUUUCAGCACCAUCACUUGGUCAUUUGGUCUCUACAGGAUGGUUCUCAACAGGAGUUCCUUCUUAUCGGCCAUCUGGAUGCAUGAUCUCUGAGAAUACAGCUUUCUUUCCUGAGAGGCUCAUUGUUGAACCUGAAGAUGGUCGCACCAUGGGGGCCAUGAGUGAUGGCAUGUUCAAUAAUGGUGUAUCCUCAGAGAGGUUCUGGUCGUCCUCCUGCAGCUGUAGUGCGGCCUGGAGGCUCCACAGAACAUCACCCAUAGAUGGCCUAUCCAGGCUAUGUUCAGCAACACAUUGCUCUGCAGUCUCUGCAAAUUUCUGA
rnacentral:rRNA from 1 species